CGUUAAAACUUACAAUUAUUUUUUACAUGUUGUGCAGGAUUGGCUGUACCAUCUAAAAACAUAAACAUAUUAAUGAUUGAUUAAUUAAAAAAUUGUGUUAUAACUGUUGGAGGCUCCAUAACUAGCAGAUGUUAAUUGAUGCCAACGGUUGGGAUGGUAUUAGAAAUAAUAUUGAUAUUUUAUUACAGCACAGUAUUCGAAGUUAUCAUUUAGAAUUUGUUCCAAGUUGAUCAUUUAUUACCAUUUAUCGGUUACUAAGUGGUACCUGGAAAGUAUAUAGAUAAGGAAUUCAAAAGGUCAAAAAGUACAUACCAAAUAAGUGGCAAGAAUCAAAGGAAUAAAAUAAAAAAUGGUUAUUACCCUUUUGGUUUUAAUUAACUCAUACAGUACUAGACUCUCUACAGACCGUAUCCAAAAAUUAUGGUAUGGGGUCAAACAGUAACGGGUUCUGUUGUGCUUUGGACUAUCUAAAGCAUCAGGUUAGUCCUGUGGCUUUAGAAAAGAUAAAUCGUAUAUGGUGCCUCGUUUUUUUUUUAAUGUAUUUUUCAUUGAGUAUAUAAUAUGUACAAGCUGUACAGUUAGCAGGUAUGCAAUUGUGUAGGUACCUGCAUUUCUACACGGCGGUAAAAGUUAAUAAUUGCAAAGCUCAUCAAAUGGUGUUCCACGAAAAAGAUUUACUGCCUACCCUAAAACUAUGCGAGCUAAGUUCAAAUAAAAUUAAAAUUAAUAUGAAGUAAUACCGAAAAAACAAGCUUACUCGCUGUGGGGUUUUCCAGAUCUUUUACUGCUGCGCUUUUGCUAAUUAUUUGUUCGGCAAUCGAGUUGGCUGCAUCCUCCAAUUCCAACACUUCAGAAUCGUCUGGAAACGAAAAUUCAAUUACAAAUAAAAAACGCUUGGCAAGACAAACUUAGGCCAUAUACAGAUGAAGUUAGAUGCAACGAGUACCUUUGACAGAACUAGUAGUACUUCCACCAACCGUUUGCAGAGCGUACAUGUUCAAGAGAUGAAAAAUUGACAGGACUCAAACACUAAAGUAUUUGUCGGUAAACUUCAAAAUUCGGCAAUGUCAAAAAAAAAAUGUUCUUACAAUGUCGUGGGUGGCUUCGUCAUGAG